CCCUUAGAUGUUCUGGGCCGCACGCGCGCUACACUGUUCGACGCAGCGAGUCUUAACCUUGACCGAAAGGUUUGGGUAAUCUUCAGCAAAGUCGAACGUGAUGGGGAUCGAUCAUUGCAAUUAUUGAUCGUGAACGAGGAAUUCCUAGUAAGUGCAAGUCAUCAGCUUGCGCUGAUUACGUCCCUGCCCUUUGUACACACCGCCCGUCGCUACUACCGAUUGAAUGGUUUAGUGAGAUCUCUGGAUUGACGCUGGCUAGGGGGCGACCCUUGGCCAGACUGUUGAGAAACCGCUCAAACUUGAUCAUUUAGAGGAAGUAAAAGUCGUAACA
rnacentral:rRNA from 1 species